rnacentral:rRNA from 1 species
AGUGAACGCUGGCGGUAGGCCUAACACAUGCAAGUCGAACGGCAGCACAGUAAGAGCUUGCUCUUACGGGUGGCGAGUGGCGGACGGGUGAGGAAUACAUCGGAAUCUACUUUUUCGUGGGGGAUAACGUAGGGAAACUUACGCUAAUACCGCAUACGACCUACGGGUGAAAGCAUGGGAUCUUCUGACCUUGCGCGAUUGAAUGAGCCGAUGUCGGAUUAGCUAGUUGGCGGGGUAAAGGCCCACCAAGGCGACGAUCCGUAGCUGGUCUGAGAGGAUGGUCAGCCACACUGGAACUGAGACACGGUCCAGACUCCUACGGGAGGCAGCAGUGGGGAAUAUUGGACAAAGGGCGCAAGCAUGAUCCAGCCAUACCGCGUGGGUGAAGAAGGCCUUCGGGUUGUAAAGCCCUUUUGUUGGGAAAGAAAAGCAGCAGGUUAAUACCACGCUGUUCUGACGGUACCCAAAGAAUAAGCACCGGCUAACUUCGUG